rnacentral:rRNA from 1 species
CACACGGAUAACAUACCGAAAGGUAUGCUAAUACGGGAUAAUAUAUUUGAGAGGCAUCUCUUAAAUAUCAAAGGUGAGCCAGUACAGGAUGGACCCGCGUCUGAUUAGCUAGUUGGUAAGGUAACGGCUUACCAAGGCGACGAUCAGUAGCCGACCUGAGAGGGUGAUCGGCCACAUUGGAACUGAGACACGGUCCAAACUCCUACGGGAGGCAGCAGUGGGGAAUAUUGCACAAUGGGCGAAAGCCUGAUGCAGCAACGCCGCGUGAGUGAUGAAGGCCUUCGGGUCGUAAAACUCUGUCCUCAAGGAAGAUAAUGACGGUACUUGAGGAGGAAGCCCCGGCUAACUACGUGCCAGCAGCCGCGGUAAUACGUAGGGGGCUAGCGUUAUCCGGAUUUACUGGGCGUAAAGGGUGCGUAGGCGGUCUUUCAAGUCAGGAGUGAAAGGCUACGGCUCAACCGUAGUAAGCUCUUGAAACUGGGAGACUUGAGUGCAGGAGAGGAGAGUGGAAUUCCUAGUGUAGCGGUGAAAUGCGUAGAUAUUAGGAGGAACACCAGUUGCGAAGGCGGCUCUCUGGACUGUAACUGACGCUGAGGCACGAAAGCGUGGGGAGCAAACAGGAUUAGAUACCCUGGUAGUCCACGCUGUAAACGAUGAGUACUAGGUGUCGGGGGUUACCCCCCUCGGUGCCGCAGCUAACG